rnacentral:rRNA from 1 species
GACGAACGCUGGCGGCGUGCCUAAUACAUGCAAGUCGAACGAGUGGCGGACGGGUGAGUAAUGUCUGGGAAACUGCCCGAUGGAGGGGGAUAACUACUGGAAACGGUAGCUAAUACCGCAUACCAUCGGAUGUGCCCCGAUGGGAUUAGCUAGUAGGUGGGGUAACGGCGCACCUAGGCGACGAUCCCUAGCUGGUCUGAGAGGAUGACCAGCCAAACUGGAAAGGAGACAUGGUCCAGACUCCUAAGGGAGGAAGCAGUGGGGAAUAUUGAACAAGUGGCGCAAGCAUGAUGCAGCCAUGCCGCGUGUAUGAAGAAGGCCUUCGGGUUGUAAAGUACGUUCAGCGAGGAGGCGUUACUCGCAGAAGAAGCACCGGCUAACUCCGUGCCAGCAGCCGCGGUAAUAC